GAUGAACGCUGGCGGCGUGCCUAAUACAUGCAAGUCGAGCGAACGGACGAGAAGCUUGCUUCUCUGAUGUUAGCGGCGGACGGGUGAGUAACACGUGGAUAACCUACCUAUAAGACUGGGAUAACUUCGGGAAACCGGAGCUAAUACCGGAUGAUAUUUUGAACCGCAUGGUUCAAAAGUGAAAGACGGUCUUGCUGUCACUUAUAGAUGGAUCCGCGCUGCAUUAGCUAGUUGGUAAGGUAACGGCUUACCAAGGCAACGAUGCAUAGCCGACCUGAGAGGGUGAUCGGCCACAUUGGAACUGAGACACGGUCCAGACUCCUACGGGAGGCAGCAGUAGGGAAUCGUCCGCAAUGGGCGAAAGCCUGACGGAGCAACGCCGCGUGAGUGAUGAAGGUCUUCGGAUCGUAAAACUCUGUUAUUAGGGAAGAACAUAUGUGUAAGUAACUGUGCACAUCUUGACGGUACCUAAUCAGAAAGCCCCGGCUAACUACGUG
rnacentral:rRNA from 1 species